GCACUUUUCGUGAAAUGCUAUUAUAGGUCUUUCCGGAAACGUAAAAAAAAAACACUAAAACAUUUCGCUGAAAAUUUCAAAAGGUUUCAUUCCCUUUUUUCUCGGUCCACCGUUUCACUCUUCCUCACUCUCCGUAUCCAUCGUUCUUCAUCGAACUCUCAAUCAUCACUCUCCAUCGUUCUUCACUCUUACUCACUCUCCAUCAUUAAUUCAUCAAUUGAACCCUAAAACCUUCUUCUCUCCAUCGUUUCCAAUUUCCCAAAACUUGUUAAACCCUAAAUCCCAAAUUGAACCCAAAAAUUGAAGGAAGUGGAAGCUAUACGCAACGCAGGUGAGAGUAUCGGCGGUAGAUAUGGAGGAAGGCACUACGAUGGAGUCAUCAUCAUCAUCAUCAUCAUCAUCAUCAUGUGAGAAGAAUAAUGUCAAUUCUACGACGCGGCGGCUAUCGUUAAAAUCCGAUUCUGAAUUCAGCAAUUACCAAUCCUGGAAACAAAAGUUGAGAGAGAAUUGUUUGAAAAGGGUGCGAGAAGACAGAACUCGCUUGCUAUGGAUUGGUGAUGUGUUUGCCUCUGUUGUCCAGGUUAUUUUUCUGGUUCAGAUGUUACCCGACGAGUUUUAAUUGGUAAACUAUUGAAUUGUCUAUUGAUUUUAAAGGUUUUGAUUGGAUUAUGUAGUAAGAAAUGGCUUAAUUAAGAACUUCCAUAUGACUGUUUCUGCAUGUUGUUUUUAUUUUUGAUGAACUAGUGUUUCUGCAUGUUAUAGACUUAUAGUUUUCUUGUUAAUUGUUAAACAUGUAAUAAAUGUAUUGAUAUAUAGAACCUGGUGUUUGAGUUUGGUUGCAGUUGCAUAGAGCUCUCCAGCUAAACAUUUAUCACCAAAUAAUGUAACAGCCUCUUUUAGGGGUGGGCAUGGUUCAGUCAAAGAGAGAAACUGCAGCUUCUUUGCAAGCAAUUCAGUUUUGUUCAGACGCAUUUUACGGCGGAAAUUCCAUUCAUUGUGGAGAUGCUUGUCGCGAAUGGAGCUUCUACUCACAACAGUGCUGCUACGUGAUUGAUGAUGAUUGUCCAAUUUCAAUUUCAAGCCUGGACAUGUACAAGGAUACAUGACAAUGAUUUGUUGCUGGGCAGGUUUAUGGUUUGUUUUCAGCAUAGUGCAUUUGUCUGCGUGCUGCUUUUUGUGCUUGGCUGAAGCGAUAUUUGCUGUUAUUGAUUUUGCUCUACGAGGGGUUGUUCUUGUGGACGAGUGCAUUUGUGUAAUUGAUGCAAAUGGAUGGUAAGCUGGUUUGUUUCAAUUUCUCACACUGAUUUCUAGUUUUCAUGAAUUUUUCUUUGCAUUGUUCUUAUCUUUUUUGAGCCUUUUAUGUCACACUUCAGGAACUGUUUGAUAAUUUUGGGGGAUCAAAAUGUUUUAUGAACAUUAUUAACAACUUAUACAUCUUUUUAUUUAUAUGCAGUUUGUGUUUUACUAUUAGAACCCACAUGAGAUCAAAGUUCGAAGCAACUGAUACAUUAUUAGCCUCUAGUUCAUGUAUUCAAAUAAAUAGCCUCUAGGUCCCCUUGACUUAAACAUAUAUGGUCAAUAACUGUGUUCAGGUUCACCUCUAUUAUUGGAAUUGGGUGAUUUUAUGAUUUUGUUCAUUUUUCUGCAUUUAGGUAUCAAUCAUUGGAAAAGGGAUAUUAUGUUUUAAUUUGUAUGAAUAAGUUGGCAUAGUUGAUCAUGAUAUUAGUAGUCAAGCUUGUUUCUUGUAUAUGCAUGUCCUUAUUGAUGUAUUAUUCCAUGUCCAAAUUCUUUUGACUUGAUCUCUGUUGAGAAUUGGCGUAUGAUGUGCUAGUGAAUGAGUAAAUUGAUCUGCAGUCACGAGAGAAUCACAAAUUGUAGAUGUUACACAUUGGUAGAGUUAAAGAAUGAUAUUGCUCCUGAUCUUAAAGAAGAUGACAUCUCAUUUUGCACACUGAUUUUGAGGUUCCUUAAUUACUUUUACUCUGACAACUUCUCAUGUGUCACAAUAAUUUUUAUCUUAUUGUGUGGAGUUUAUGUAAAUAUAAAUUAUAGAACUUUUGGACUGUUGGCUCAAAAUUAUGAAAUGUAGCUGCUGCUAAACUUUUCCAUUCUCUUCUUUUUAAUUUUUCAGGGACUUCUUGAAAACAUGAAAGAUGCUUGCUUGGUUUGGCAAUUGGCAGAGGAUUUGCUUAGGUUGAUUGGUUUGUCUUGCUAUAAUUAGUGUCAUGAACAUCAUCUAGGGGAUUAGGAUAAUUAGUUUGUUUUUGUCUUGGACACAAAAUUGUCAUGCUUCUUUGUUUGUUUUGUGAAGGAUGGGAGAUUCAUGUAAUUUGAUGGUACUUAUUGGCCUUCUUUGUGCCUUUUUAUAUCUUUAUUAAUAUAGUUUUUGCCUUUUGACCUUUGUA